AUGCAAGUCGAACGAACUUCCGUUAAUUGAUCAGGACGUGCUUGCACUGAAUGAGAUUUUAACACGAAGUGAGUGGCGGACGGGUGAGUAACACGUGGGUAACCUGCCCAGAAGCAGGGGAUAACACCUGGAAACAGAUGCUAAUACCGUAUAACAGAGAAAACCGCCUGGUUUUCUUUUAAAAGAUGGCUCUGCUAUCACUUCUGGAUGGACCCGCGGCGCAUUAGCUAGUUGGUGAGGUAACGGCUCACCAAGGCGAUGAUGCGUAGCCGACCUGAGAGGGUAAUCGGCCACAUUGGGACUGAGACACGGCCCAGACUCCUACGGGAGGCAGCAGUAGGGAAUCUUCCACAAUGGACGCAAGUCUGAUGGAGCAACGCCGCGUGAGUGAAGAAGGGUUUCGGCUCGUAAAGCUCUGUUGUUAAAGAAGAACGUGGGUGAGAGUAACUGUUCACCCAGUGACGGUAUUUAACCAGAAAGCCACGGCUAACUACGUGCCAGCAGCCGCGGUAAUACGUAGGUGGCAAGCGUUAUCCGGAUUUAUUGGGCGUAAAGCGAGCGCAGGCGGUCUUUUAAGUCUAAUGUGAAAGCCUUCGGCUCAACCGAAGAAGUGCAUUGGAAACUGGGAGACUUGAGUGCAGAAGAGGACAGUGGAACUCCAUGUGUAGCGGUGAAAUGCGUAGAUAUAUGGAAGAACACCAGUGGCGAAGGCGGCUGUCUGGUCUGUAACUGACGCUGAGGCUCGAAAGCAUGGGUAGCGAACAGGAUUAGAUACCCUGGUAGUCCAUGCCGUAAACGAUGAUUACUAAGUGUUGGAGGGUUUCCGCUCUUCAGUGCUGCAGCUAACGCAUUAAGUAAUCCGCCUGGGGAGUACGACCGCAAGNGAAACUCAAA
rnacentral:rRNA from 1 species